UACGUAGGUGGCAAGCGUUGUCCGGAUUUACUGGGCGUAAAGGGCGUGCAGGCGGUUUGUUAAGUGCAGGGUGAAAGCUCCCGGCUCAACUGGGAGAGGUCCUUGCAUACUGGCAAACUCGAGGGAGGCAGAGGAUAGUGGAAUUCCCGGUGUAGUGGUGAUAUGCGUAGAUAUCGGGAGGAACACCUGUGGCGAAGGCGGCUUUCUGGGCCUUACCUGACGCUGAGACGCGAAAGCGUGGGGAGCGAACAGG
rnacentral:rRNA from 1 species